rnacentral:lncRNA from 10 species
ACAGGGUCUUGCUCUGUCUCCCAGGCUGGAGGGCAGUGCAUUGUUCAUAGCUGACUGCAGCCUUGAACUCCUAGGCUCAAGCGAUCUUCCCACCUCAGCCUCCCAAGUAGCUGAGACUACAGGCUACAGGUACAUGCCACCAUGCCCGGCUAAUUUUUUUUUUUUUUUUUUUUUUUAGACACACAGUCCUGCUAUGUUGCCCAGGCUGAUGUUGAACUCCUGGACUGAAGCGAUCCUCCCACCUUGGCCUCCCCAGAACUGCUGGGAUUACAGCAAAUCACAGGUACCCACUGAAAUAUUUACAAAUGAGGAGGAGCAAGUUGGCCAAAUAGAAGCCUCCACCAAUUGUCCUCCCUGCAGGAACAUCACAUUUGACAACUAUCUACACAAAAAAGCAUCUUCAUGAGAAUUAAACAUCAGGAACUGGCUUUCUGAAGAAAAUCAAAAAAGAAUAAAAAGCCCAGAAAGGCACUUUGGGAGCUGAGGCAGGAGGACUGCUUGGGUCUAGGAUUUCAAGACCAACGUGGGCAACAUAACAAGACUCUGUCUCUACAAUAAAAAACGUUUUUAAAUUAGCUGAGCAUAUUAACACACACAUGUAGCCCAAGCUACUAGGGAGGCUGAGGCAAGAAGAACCCUUGAGCUCAGGAGACCAGCCUGGCCACACAGCAUGACUCCGUCUCUAUUUUUUUCUUUUUAAGUCCAGAAAGUCUACAUUGUGGUUUUUAAUUUACUUAAUAAAUAACCAAAUACCUACUAUAUGCCAGGCAAUGAUCCACAUGCUUUGUCAUAAUUCUUGGGGAAGACACACAUAUUCCACUGUGGUUUUUCAAUAGAACAAAAGACUUAUAAAAUGUUUCAUUUUUAACCGAUAAUAACCAGGUACUACUCAAAGCUCAAAAUAUCUUUACUGGUCAGGUGCAGUGGCUAUAAGCCCAGCACUCUGGGAGGCUGAGGCAGGAGGACUGUUUGAGCCCAGGAAUUUAACAACAGUUUGGUCGACAUGGAAAGGCCCCCAUCUCUACAAAAAAUUUUAAAAAAAUU